rnacentral:rRNA from 1 species
AACGAACGCUGGCGGCAGGCUUAACACAUGCAAGUCGAACGCCCCUUCGGGGGAGUGGCAGACGGGUGAGUAACGCGUGGGAAUCUACCCAGUUCUGCGGGACAACAGUUGGAAACGACUGCUAAUACCGCAUACGCCCUACGGGGGAAAGAUUUAUCGGAAUUGGAUGAGCCCGCGUAAGAUUAGCUAGUUGGUGAGGUAAUGGCUCACCAAGGCGACGAUCUUUAGCUGGUCUGAGAGGAUGAUCAGCCACACUGGGACUGAGACACGGCCCAGGCUCCUACGGGAGGCAGCAGUGGGGAAUAUUGGACAAUGGGCGCAAGCCUGAUCCAGCCAUGCCGCGUGAGUGAUGAAGGCCUUAGGGUUGUAAAACUCUUUCAGUAGGGAAGAUAAUGACGGUACCUACAGAAGAAGCCCCGGCUAACUUCGUGCCAGCAGCCGCGGUAAAAC